rnacentral:snoRNA from 1 species
UCACUGUGAUGAUUUGUUGCCAAACCAUUUGCAGUUUCCACCAGAAAGGCUUUCCUUUGUGUUGGCAAAUCCUUCCUUGGAUGUCUGAGUGA